GAAAGAGAGAGAGAGAGAAACAUCAAUGUGAGGUUGCUGGGGACCGUGGCCUGCAACCCAGGCAUGUGCCCUGACUGGGAAUCGAACCUGCGAUGCUGUGGUUUGCAGCCCUCGCUCAAUUCACUGAGGAGCUACUCCAGCCGGGGUUCAUCUGCUUCUCAUAACAAGACCCCUGGCCCAGGCUCGGCCAGUGAGACCCGGUGCCGGGACUUGGUCUGGGAUCUCCCUGCGGCUGGCUCAUCCCGGAGGCUCCUGAGUCUAUGCGGCAUUGGCCUUGAGCUGUCUGUGGACCAGCGGUGGAUUACAAACACACAGAGGCCAGCAGAGGGGCGUGGCCAGGGAGGACUUCUCCAAGCUAAUGAUGUUUCAGCUGAGCCCCAGCUGACCAGAAAGAGCCAGCGUUGCCAGAAUCCAGAGAGAAGACAUCGUCAGAAGGGGACGGGGCUCCGCCACUGAGGCUAUUUUUGUGAAAAGCUGAGGAUUCAAAAGCGCGUCUCCUUGAAAGCCUCCCUGAUCUCGGAGGAGCUGAAGACGCAGGGGCAGAGCUGAGCGGCACCUGAGUCCUGUUCACUCCGCCGGAAUCAUAAUCCCCGCCCCAUUGCUGACGGCCCGCCCACCAACAGGGGCCAGUCCGGGACAACCGCGGCCUCGGUCCCCAUAACCUUUUAAAGUACGUACAUGCCUAAGGGGUUGGUGCCAAUUUGGCAGACGCAGGAACUCCGGCACAGAGAGGUUAAGAAACCAGCCCAGCGUCACACAGCUGGUACUGGAGCUGGGAUUGACACUCAGGAAUUCUGGCUUCCAUUUAAAGAAUAGUUGCACUAUUAUUCUUCGCUCCACCACGCUGUCUUUGAAACGCCUUCUCAGGUCCUUGCACGCCCACCUCCUCCACCGGGCACUUGUCCCCACCCUGUCCUCUGGUUCCUCUCUCCGAUCUCACUACUGCCCUUUCGCUGGAGAUCUUUUUCUGCAGCUCUGACCGCACGAUCCGUUCAUUUUGUUUACACGCGUAACGAGUAUCGUUUGACUACCUACUAUGUACCAGAUGGUCUGGGCUCAAAUACCGCAGGGAAUAAGGCAGACACCUGCCCUGAGUUUACAACACUGUCUCGUCCAGGGAGAGACACGGCACCAAGCACACAAGCACAUCAAUGUAUAAUCACAAAUCUGAAGAUGACGAAUCUGACACCCAGGAGACUAGGAGGGCCAAGUCUAGCCGCCGACAUGGAGGGCUGGGAGACGAGUGCUCUGACAAGGGAUCCUAUAGGCCAAACCCCCACGAUGACAAGGAUCCAGCCUUGUGAAAAGCAGGGAAAAGUGUUUCUUAAGGAGGGAAUAGCAUGCGUGAACUCCCAGCGGCAGGAAAGAACUCUGUGCAUUCAAGGAAAUUAAAGUCCCUGGCGUGGCUACAGCUGGGAAGAGGAGGGGAGGAGAGCGGGGACCGUACUGGGGAGGGUCUGGGGGACCUAGUGCGAGGCAGGCGCCUCAUCGGAAGUGAGAUGGGGAGAAAGGGCACCGUUCUGCCUCUAGUGCCGCCGGCAGCCUGGCGGUCCUGUCCAGGGUGACGAUGGGUGUGAGCAGGAGAAUGAGGGAGCACUGAGGGGUCCCCGGCCUGCCCCCCCCCGUGUCCUGUCCUGAGGACCUGGGGCUGGAGCAGCCAGGCUGACCUCCUGCUGGUGCAGGCCUGGGAUGGGCUGUGAGCCGGGGCUCCAUCAGACAUGUGUACACACACACACACACACACACACACACUCCUGAACACCCUGGGCUGUGUGCCUGCACCUUCUCAACACCUGGGGCUCACCCCCAUCCUCACCUUCUGAGCGAGGCUAUCUCUGAACCGCCCUGACUAGAGUGGCAGCCCCUGUCCCACGCUGUCCCAUUAUCCGGGUGACCUUUCUUGAUAGCAAUGCCCGAAAUGACCUCCUGCGUCUGUUUGUUCCCCAUUUUCUGUCGGCCCCCCUCCCCGCUCCCCCAGAGCAGGGGCAGCCCCAACAAGUGCCUGUUGACUUUCUGCCCUUGCUUUCGGCUCAAGACGAAGCAGAGAGCAACAUCCCAGGACGCUUCAUUUAGGUCCCUUCCAGAAUCACCGUUCCCGAUGGCACUUCGGCUGCGCCUUUGCCCGCAUGGAGGGGUCAUUUUAAAAGUGCCCCAAUGAGAAUGGUUCUGGGGCCUGUCCGGACACCAUCCAGGGCGCCCUUCCGUCCCCCAAAGCCCGCACUCCUCACGAACCUGGAGAGAGUCCUCCCAGGGCCCAGAAUCAAGGAAACCUGGUUAGUUUCCAUGUGUAAUUGACAUGUUUUUCUCUUUGCUUUGAUUGCUGGAAAGCCCAGGGGCAGGUUCUUCCACUGCCAGCGAGUUUACAGGACCACGGCCAUCUCCAGGCUAAUCUGUUCUCGUCAUCCUUUCGUCUAAUCCAAGAAAUAUUGGUCCUGGGCUUCCCCUUCACUGGGGAAUCGACAGUGAGUGAAGCAGACGGAACCCCUGUUUUCACGGCACUCACAGUCAGCAGGGAGAGACAAGAAAGCAACCUAAUAAGUACCUAUGCCCUAUGUCAGGGGGCAAUAAACGCUACAGAAAACUAUUAAGGAGGGAAGGGGGGAAGGGAGCCCGGGUUGGUCUGCAAUUUAAAAAGGGGGUAUGUGUGUGUCAGGGAAAGGUGACACCGCGGUGACAUUAAAGCAAGGGCUUGGAGGAGGUGAGGGAUGACAACCAGAGGGUGGUGAGAGGAAGGAUGUUCCAGGGAGAGGGAACAGCAGCAGACAGAGGCCCCGAGUGCAGAGGCAGGAGAGCCAUCAGGCAGAGGAAUGGGGCACGUGGUCACAGGGGUAAUGGGGUGCGGGCCCUCAGGGCAGUGAAGGCUCGUCCCUGAGUGAGACGGAGCCUUGCGGGGUCCGGAGGGGAGGACUCCGAGUUUCUGAGCGUUGUUAUGACAGCAUCUCUCUGGCAUCUGUGUUGAGCGUAGACUGGGGGACAGGAUAGGACACCAGGGGAGGCUGCUGCCAAGGCCCAGGGGGGAGUGUGGCUGGGACCCCCGAGCAGCCACGAAGGGGUUGGGGAGGCGUUGGAAUCUGGAUGCGUCUUGGAGGUAGAAGCAACAGGAUUUCCUCAAGGUUCACAGGGGCGUGAGAGACCGAGGGGAGUCAAGGGUGACUCCCAGGUUGGCCUGAGCAGCCGGAGCAGUUGCUGUCUGGGACGGGGAGACGGUGGUGGAAGCGGGUUUGGGGUGGGGUGACCAGCAGUUCCGUUCUGGUCCAGGUUAAGUUUGAGUUGAGAAAGGGGGAUUUGGAGCAGGCAGGGUGCGUGAGUCUGGUGCUCCGGGAGAGGGCUGGCCGGAGAUGGACGCAGGAGCCAGCCGUCCGCGGGCGCUGCUGAACUCGGCCAGGCCCCAAGGGGUCAGCAGGCAGGAGUACAGACCCCAGAGAAGCGGGCUGAGGCUGCCUGCCCACGUUCCCGGUGCUGAGAGGAGAGUAUGCGGUGAGGGGGGCCGGGGGGCCUGGGCUCCUGGAAGCCAGGUGGAAAGAGUGUGCGAAAGAGGAGGGACUGAUCAGCUGAGACCAAUGUGGCCAAUCAGGACUGAGAAUCACCACUGGCUAUGGCAACGUGGAGGCCAUUGGUGAGCUUGAGCCAGCAGUUUGGGUUGAGAGGACAGGCUGGCACAACAUAGGCAAGGGCCCUGACCGGGAACCGAACCGGCGACCCUUUGGUUCACAGGCCAGCGCUCAAUCCACUGAGCCACACCAGCCAGGGCUCAUCCUUUUUUUAAAAGAAGAGUCUAUUUAGUUUUAGAGAGAGGGGUGUGAGAGAAACAUUGAUCGGUUGUCCCUCACACAUCCUGGCUGGCGCCCUUUUGGUUUGCAGGAUGACGCCCAACCCCCUGGAAUCCGCCAGUCAGGCCCACUCUCGUCCUUUGUUUACGGCUUCGUAUGAUUCCAUUCUGUGAGACACUGUGUGUUUUUACCCAGUGCCCCCGGGGCGGACAGCCAUUCGAGGUCGGACCUGUUAUUAUCUCCAGUUUACAGAGGAGCCACUGAGGUGCCGGCAGGCUCAGGGGCUUCCCGGCGGCUCAGCCGCUCGCUGCGGUGGGAACGCCACGCCCGCAGCCGCGGGCUUGGCCGUCCUCCGCCUCCCGGAUGAGUUUCCAGCUCUGCUUUCUCCCUCGCUCCUACACGCUUAGCAAUGACUUGACCACCCUUUUGUUCAUGCGAAUGCCACACAUUUACAAGCCUUGACCAGGUGCCAGGCUCAGGGCAAGGCCCAGAGGAUGUGAAGGACGGGACAGAGAAGUCCUGUGCCGCACAGGAGUGGGCAGGCCGAGUCUGUGUGUGUUUUGUAAGCCACCCCCAGUCUUCCUCGAAUGACAGAGAGAAUAAAGAAGCCUGGUCCCUGUUUUUCACUAACGAGGAAACCAGCCGUGCCAACGAAUGACUGUGACAGUCCUGGGAGCUGAACACUGCUAAAGAAGCCUGGGAACCCAAAACACUGAACUCUGCAACGCUGGCCCCAUUCCCUGCCACCUCCCAGCAACUCCCCACCACCACCUGGCCCUCCUCCAAUUUCCCAUCUCUGCGAAAGGCCCACCGCCCAGCCAGUGGCUAAAGCCUUCAGGGAUUGGCCCCUCCCACUUCCCAUCUCAGGUCAUCCACCCUGUCCUGAGACCAUCCCCUGAAGACCUCCGGACUCUGCCUCACCUUACUCUGUGGGGCUACUGACCCCUGCCAGGGGCCUUCUCUUAAAGGAGUCACCCAUUCCUCCCUGGUCUUGUCUCCACGCCGGCCCCUUCCCAUCCACUGUCCAUCCAGCCGAUGUGUCACUGCAUCAUUUCUUUGUUCUAACCUUCUAAAGCUUCCCUUUGCUGUCUGUCCUAGGACUAAUGUCUGGGAGAAAGAGCCCAGUGCUUAGGACCGUGGGCUCUGGGGCCCGAAUCCCAGCUCUGCAACUUAGCAGGUGUGAGACCUUGAGGGACCCGCUUAACCUCUCUGAGUAGGCAAAAUUCGAGAUACUGUAAUGGCAUAAACAAGCAUGAUAAAUGCUAAUGAGAUACAUUAGAUAAUGAUAAUAAUCGCCCCUACCUUUCAAGCUGCCACGAGGAUUAAGUUAAUGAGGUCCACUCCCCUCCCAGGUGUGCAAACCCUGAACGCUGAGGGUCCCCAGGAGACUUGCCACCAAGGGAGCAACAGGUGGAAAAAGCUUGUUCUGGACUCCGAGGCCCCCUUUCCUCUGACUUCCCAGGGAGCCAGAGCAGCCCUGCCUAAGCUCACUUCUUUCCUGUAAUGUUUCUAGAGCCGAAGAAGCCCCACCCGGGCUCUCUCCUGUUGCUCCUUCUAUCCUAAGCCCUUCCCUGUUUCCCUGUCCCCAGCUUAAAGAAACAUGCUCUCAAAAUCAGAAAAGGUCGUGAAUAUUAUAACAGGCCCUGUGCUCUGGGUCACAUCUAGGUCUACAACCUCACCAGUUCUCAUCUCCUCUAUGGACCUGCGGAAACGCUUUUGAUUUUCUGAAAGCAUCACAUUCCCUCCCACUCUGUCCUGUCUGCAGCCCCUCUGAGUUGAAUCCAGGGUCCUAGUUCUAUUCCAUCAUAUCUCCAACAGCUAGACACACGGCAUGUUGAAAAACAAAAAUGAAUGAAUGAGAAAGGCACUGUAUUGCAUUCUAAUGGAUAUGAAUAGCAGUUUUCCAGGUAAAGAAGGGACGGAGGUAGGGCUAUGAAAGGGCUUGUUCCACCCUGGGGGCUGGAGGCUCCCAGUGCCGGGAGAACAGAAGGAAGAUGAGGUUGGAGAGGAGGGCUGAGCCCAAUCCAGACUUUUCUGUGUGGGCACAGGAUAUUCACAGGGGAAGGCUUUUGUAACAGUGGCAGUUGCAGGAGAGAUGGAGGCCCGGAGCUGGGUAAGUGGCUAAGCUCCAGGGGAACAAGGAAGAGGUCUGAACCAGGGCAGUAGCUGCGGGAAUAGAAUGAAGAAGGAAGAUUUGAGAGAAAGAAUAUAAUUUCCUGAGCACUUUUACUGAAUGCCUCCUAGGAAAGAUGUGAGGGGAUUAAGGGAAUAAAGAGCAGAAGUAGCAUUUUCCCCUGUCUUCAAGUAGCUCAAAUCCCAGGAUAGGCGGACAGACCUAUAAAUAAAAAUAUGAAUGCAAGGAAGGUCAAAUUCAGUACCACUGCAGCCAGUCUCAUAGAAGGAUCUCUGUAUGUGUAAAAUCAGCAAAUUAAAGCAUCAUCCACUUUUGAGUCCUCUGUCACCUACCCCAAGGCUCUUUUUAAGUUCUCAAAUUAUUGCUAAAACACACUUCAAUAUAUUUUCACAACCCACCAACUUUUAGUAGUAUAGACUUAGACUUAGCAGCCCCUGAUCUUGGACAAGUUACCGAAUUCUCUUAGCCCAAGCCCACAUUAGCUAUCAUAUCAAGGUGAAUGAGAUGAGAACGGGGUGGGGGUGAGGGAGGGCAGAGAAUGUGGAGGUGUGGUAUUGGGGCAAGAUCCUGCAGGGCCUUGUGAGCUACCAGAAAAGUUUUGGACUUUAUGCCCUGGCUGGUGCGGCUCAGUGAAUUGGAUGCCGGCCUGAGAACCAAAGGAUCCCAAGUUCAAUUCUCAGUCAGGGCACAUGCCUGGGUUG